rnacentral:lncRNA from 1 species
UUGGCAAGUCCCUUGUCUAUCCCGGAGGGCGCACCCGGACGCUCGAGCCGGAGCGAGCGCGAAGUCCGAAGUCCGCCCCCAGAGCCGCCAACUUCCCUGUGAGCCCCUCUCCCCGCCGCAGCCUGCGCCAGACCUGGGAGCGAUGCGCCCCCACCCGGGCGGCGCGCCCUCUGCCAACUCGCCACCCAUGGGAUCGACUGCCCUCAGCUGCCCGGCUUGGAGUGCGUAGCCUUCGCCGCGUGGCCCAGGAGAGGAGCGAGACACCAAGGCGUUUCGCGGACUCCGCGCGCACCAGUCGGCUUGGUGGCCCUGCGGGA